UACGUAGGAGGCGAGCGUUGUCCGGAUUUACUGGGCGUAAAGCGCGUGUAGGCGGCCCUGCAAGUCGGGUGUGAAAUCCCAUGGCUCAACCAUGGAAGUGCACUCGAAACUGCAGGGCUAGAGUCCUGGAGAGGAAGGUGGAAUGCUUGGUGUAGAGGUGAAAUUCGUAGAUAUCAAGCGGAACACCGGUGGCGAAGGCGGCCUUCUGGACAGUGACUGACGCUGAGACGCGAAAGCGUGGGGAGCAAACAGG
rnacentral:rRNA from 1 species